GUUUCAUACUGUCAGUUUUAUUUUUAUUUACAGUUUAAUUUCCAGUUGAGAACAUCUGAUCUGCACUGCUGGUUAAAAUCAAUCACAACAUCAGCAUUAUUUGAACUAUUUCCAGUAAAACUGCAUUGAUUUGUCUGCAGAGCAAGUAAGUGGACAUUGCAUACUGUUAUAGUGAUAGUCUUCGUUCAUUUGUCCAGGAGAUGUUUUAGUAGAUGAUAUCUGUUCUAAAGUAAAAUCUUCAAAAAUCUCAAAUCAAAUGGUUAUUGAUUAGGAGUCAUUCCUCAUUACAGUGAAUGUGACAGUCAGGGGUUUGUUUGAGACUUCAGUAUAGUAAGUAAAUGAGAUCUAAACAAAGAGGGACUAUUAAAUAAAUUAUGUUUUUUUUUUUUUAUGCAUCUAAUGAAUGCAUAACAGCAGAAUUCAGAAAUGUCUGUUUUUAUUUAUGCAAAAUUAUGUUUAAAGUAUCAAAAUAUUUUUUUCAUUGUGUGUAUUUUCAAACUAUGAAAAUAGGCAUUUUAUUUCAGGAAAAAAAAAAAAACCUUCACCACAUAACACUGAUAAACAUAAUACAUCAUUUAAAAUGUGCAGUAAAUGUUUUUCCUGUGACAUCUGUAAACCCGAUGUUAAACCCUCGUUGGUAAACAAAUUAAAUGAACUAGUGUUGGGCCAAAAGUUCCCAUCCUUGAAGAAACAUCAAUACGUGUUUGAAAUAUUAACAUAAAAAAAAUCAAAAUCAGCAUUAACUUAUGAUCCAAAAUCUGUUAGUCUCUUUUGAUUUGGUCACUAUUAUCAGCUACCAAUUACUGUGAAAAUAUAAUGAAAUAAUACACGGCAUAAAAAUGAAAUUAAAGAACCAAUAAAUACACAACAGCAUGGAAAAAUCAAGAAAAAAACAAUAAAUUUCACAGCAUCACUCUUUAAAUGGAAAAACGCUUUUGUAAAUCCUAAUAUUAGCAGAAAUAUUGCUCUCUCCACACCAAACAGAGCAAAUACAGUCACAAACCCCAUUGAGAGCGUCACUCCAACAAAACAAAACAGUAAUAACUUGAAUGCAAAAACUAGAGUUGUCCGAGCUUGCAUUUGAUCUGGUAUAAUGGAGUAAAUAGUGUAUAAAUGAGCCCCGAAUGUGACCCCGGGAGCAGCAUGGCACGCUAUGAGCACAUCUGACCACGUCCGUACACUGACAGCUGUUCCUACAGUCAGUCCUAGACCGGCUAUGAACACUAUACUGGGAAAUGUAAAGAUCAUGACUAAAAACAUUAUGAUUUGGUGUCCAUGUCGCGAAUUUGCAAGGUCAUGAUAUGCAACAGCUACUGGGAAAGUGGAGGAUAGGAUCAAAUUUAAAGGAACAGCAACAUCUGGAUUGAGAAUAUUUCUUAUAGUGACCGUAAAACUAACAAGUACAAAUAAUAUUUCCGCAAAAUGAAAAUGUUCAUGCGUUAUUUUAGUGAAAAUAAAAGCAGUGUUCAGUAAAAUGAGUAAAAUCCAUCGUGCAGUUUCUGCUGAACUGUCAUGUGUUUCAGAGAGGAUUUGAUUUUGUUCAUGCACAUCUUGAAUGGUUUCAUCUGCUUCUAACUUUUCACUCAGUGCUGAGUGAAAUCUGUGAUCAUUGAGCCGAACUAACUUGUGUAUUUCUGUUAUAAGAGUUGUUCUUUGAGCAGGUUUUGGUUCAGAGUCUCUUUUGAUGUGAAAUCUUCCUCCACAUGCGUUGAU
ensembl:lncRNA